GAGACAAAGCUAGAUAAGCUGCGGGCGGCGCUGCAGUAGUCAGUUAUGCUCAGAGCGGCCGUGAGAGAAGAUGCAUUCAUUUUGCGCGGGGACGUGACGUAUCGUGUACAGAAGAAAAUACCGGUUGUUACAAGAUUUACGAGUGGAGACAUUCCUAUUAGAGUUUAAGUUGUCUUUGAUAAUCUUAUAUAUUAAUAAUGGUGAAGGCGAAAAAAGGUCGUUCAUCGUUCAAAACUCCAGCCUUUGGACAGGUCGUUCAUGAAACCCUUUAAGAAUGCCUAUAAUGAACAAUGUGGGAUGUGGAUAAGAGCUAAUUCAGGGGCUAGAAUUACUGAAUUCGAUAUUGCUGGACUUGUUUCAGAUGCUUUUAAAAAGGUAGCACGUUAUGACAUAGCAGCAGCAUUUUUGUCAAACGGAUAUAUACCGAUAUAUCCGUUUGACAAAAAUAUUUUCAGUGAUUUGGAUUAUUUGCCAAGCGAUAUUACGAAUAUUCCAAUGGAAGAACGUUAUGAAAAUCUAGCCUAUCCAUCCAGUUCUUCACGUGCAGAUUUGAGGAAGUGAUUGAUAGACAUGCCCUUAGUAUUCCUCAAAAUUUACUGGAACAAGGCCUGUUGUGGAUAUUUUACCAGAAAGCCCAUUAAUGUUGCGAGAGAAACACAAGUCUCUCACCUCAGCCUUCUUCUAGCAAAGGCCCAGAAUCAGUGCAACUCGUGUAAAGAAUGGGCUCAAGAGGCAUGCGCUGAUAUUCCAGUGUGCUCUGAGAUGUAUAUUUGUGACAGGUGCCACCUUUACUAGAAGUGUUAGGUCAUAAGGACCAUUUUUAGGUAUGUUCGGUACUAGGUGCCACAUAAUGAUAAACCAAAAAUUAAUGCCCAUGAUUAGCUAUAAUUUUCACUAAGAAUUUGUAUUCUGUUAAUUAUUUGUUAAUUUACUUACAUGUCUAUGAUUGUCGUGUACCCAAUAAUGUGAAAUAAAUUAAUAGAAAUCAAUUCGUAUUUUUUUAAUGCCCUCUAAGCUUAGGUGUUCGGCACUGCGGGACUUCCCCCUACUACGAUGACUAUAUUAUACUUUAUAAAAAAAAAACAGACUACCAAAAUAUGAUGGGGCUCACAUUGACCUAAGAUUUUAUAAAACUGGCUAGUGAUAAAUUUAGCAAAAUUUUGAGACAACUCACGAUAAAAUUAUAUGUAUACGAGUUGCACUGUUUAUGAAAUUAAGAUCAAAUUGAAAAGCAUUUUAUGCAGACUUUGAACUCCUGCUGUCUUUAUGUAGGUAAACGGUUACUUGAGAUGAAAAAGGCUCCUUUUACCUGUCUUUUUCCAUGUUUCUAUUCCUAUCCCUCUCCCACACAAAACAUCGUGCGUAUAUAAUGCCCGGAGUUAAAAUUUAGAGGCAGCAUAAGAUUUUGCGAUUUUUAAACGUUUAAUCUUCUACGCCAGCUCUCCAUAACAUUCAUUCAACCAUUCAUGUUUGCAUGGUCUAUUUAUACAAUUCAAUUUCUACUAUUACAAGUAACAAAAUGGUUCAAUAAAAUUAAAGCACGGAAAACGUUUGAAGCAUAAUCAUAAAAUCAAAGCGUUGUUUAAAAACAGUUAAUGCAGUUUUAUGGGGACCCUGUGAUAUUUUCCGGUCUUUUGUGGACAGCAAGAGAAAGAUUUUGCUAAAUGCAUUUGAAUGGCAUUAGUGCAAUUUAAGACUGUUUGGCUGUAUGUAAAGUCGAAAUGCUGUGUUAUUUUUAUUACGACCUGUAUUUUGUUUUUAUAUAAGGUGCGUUGAGAUAAUUUCGCCGAAAUCACUUUAUCCUUUAUUUGUAGGGAACUUUCAGAUUUUUUUUAAAUCGAGAUGUUUUUCGUCUUGUUUAAUAUUAUGAGUUAUAAUCUUUAAAUAAUUAAAUUUGAAUCGGCAUGAUGCUUUAUUAAAAACUUCUUAGAAAAAAUAAACGGAAUUUAACACCUAAUACACAAAUUAAGUUCUGUUCAAUAUUUUUUUUUUCUGUUUGGUUAUUUCCGUUGCAGCGGAGAAUAGAAUAAUGGCAACCUUUAAUUUUCAUUCACGUCCAUAUACGAUCUACAUAAUAAGUAAAUAAGGUUCGUACAGACAAGUAUUAUUUUGUGGGGUAAUUUUCGUAAUUUGAGUCAAGAAUGCGUAUAAAGAAAUUAUUGUUUAUAUAGAUGUUCAGUAUGCGUUGCAAUCGAGUUACAACCCGCCCUGAAAAUAUAUGUACUCUGUGUACGAUCCUUACAAAUUUAUCUCAAUUAAUGGUUUUUCCUUAAUUCUUCAUAAUUAUGAGUAUCGCUGGUCAGUUGAGCUGACCACAAUUUUACUUUGGUAACCUAAUAUUUAUGUUUCUAGGUCAGAUAACAUCGACCGAUAAAUAUUGUUAUGUAAUUAUUGUGUAUAAAAUAUGUUUGGUACAUACCAUGUAUUUAUAUUUUAAGGAAAAUACUAUCAAUAAAUAGUUUUGAAUAUUUA